UGAAGAUUACAUUUAAAUACUGACUGUCUAUCUAUAUUAAAUAUAGUUUAGGUCAUCACAGAGGUACCGGGAGGAAAAACAGUAAUUCUUCUUAAUUCAUGAUAAAGCGAAAGAAAAUUGAAUUAAUUAUGAUGGUGCACUGCAAAAAUUGUGAACUAAGUGAUUUUUAAAAAUGUCUGUGUGACAUGGAAAAUACCUGGCUCUCCUCUCUCACUCUCACAAAUGGUCAGUUUGUUCUGGGCCUAGAAGGCCUUGUUCUCCUCAUGCUGGGAGGUGAUUGGGAAUUACACUGGCAUAGGUUAUGAUUACUUCACAGGCCAGGGAAGAAACUCUCUGAGCCCUCCACUGAUGCAGUCAGGGAGGUGUCAGCUUUUCUUGAGUGGCCCUUGUGGAACUGGUCACACAUCAGUCAGGACGUGAACUUCAUUGAGGUAAGGUGCUUUGUGACUGAAGAGUAAGAUGAAGAUUGAGAAUUCCAACAAGCAUAGAAAGGACAACCUUUGGUGCUACUGCUAUUUAUUAGAAGAAGUGACAUUUCUAAGAAAAUAGUAUGGCUGUGGACUGUAUUUGCCUGUGGUCCCUGCCCAGGUACUCUACUAUGAUUUUAGAACAUUUAAAGUUUUAGAACAAUCCCAUCUCUACCAUACACAAAAGCUUUGUCUUAGGUGUUUAUAAGAAAGAUGUGAACUAUUUCUCAAUAGAAGCCCCAGAUGAAGAAUCAUCAUAGAUAUCACAAACAUCCAUUUUAGAGUAAACAGAGGGUACAAUUCUUGCUGAUACUGUUAUUUUUUUCUCCCUUCUUCCUUUCCUCCUUUUCUUCUCUGGUAUUCUUAUUCUAAUUGCUGGAUUAUCCCACACUCCCAAAGUCAUCACAUACAGCUGAUGGAGUUAUUCACUGCAUAAUGUUGAGGAGGACAUUUGAGCCUGAAAUUCUAUCCAUGCUCCACUUGCCAAACUGCACACCGUGUUUUGAGCCUGUGCCUUCCAAACAGUCGCCUUUUCCUAAAUCUCAGGAAGUGUCCUUGAGGCUGUUAACAGCAUUACUUUCCCUCCUCCUGCUGUAGGGCUGUUCAGAUUCUUCUCCUUAGAAGGAAAGAAGCCAUCUCUCACAGUGAGUUCACAGAACUUAACAGAACACUUUCCAAGAUGGGGAGUUGUUGGGAACCUAUUCAGUGAUGGUGAACAUAUGGCAUGCAUGCAGGAGUGGGCUGUUUCUAUCAUUGAAAGCUCUAAAAAGUUCUCUGCUAUGGAUCCUCAUGCUGAUGAAAAGGGCCAAACAGUAGGACUGACCUGAUUCUUACUCAGAAGACAUGGUGUAGUUAUAUUCAAUUCCCUACAAAACAGAAAAUAUUCAUUAAGCACUGACUUUGACCAGUACUUGGAGAUAACAGUAGAAAGAUGGGUAAGAAUGACUAUUGGGGAAAUCAAAUAUGCAAACAGAAUGUGAAAUCUAAUUUUAGUGUUUUAAAAUUUGUUAAAUGCUAUGUGUGGUGGCUAACAUCUAUAAUCCCAGCACCAGGAGGAUUUCUGUGAGUUCAAGGCCAGCUUGGGUAACAUAGUGAAUUCAAGACCAGCCUGAACUACCUAGUGAGACUCUGUCUCAAAAAAAAAAAAACACAACAACAACAAAAAAGAUAAUCUAAAAAUUGUUGUAACAGCUGGGUGUAGUGUCAUAUGCCUGUAAUCUGAACACUGUGGGAGGCUGGGGCAGAAGGAUUGCAAGUUUGAUCCCAGCCUGGGCAAUUUAGUGAGUUAGUAUAACCAUGACUCAAAUUUUUAAAAAGUGUGGG
rnacentral:lncRNA from 1 species